CGCAGUCCUUCGGGACCGAGCGGCGGACGGGUUAGUAACGCGUGGGAACAUACCCUUUUCUACGGAAUAGCCUCGGGAAACUGAGAGUAAUACCGUAUAAGCCCUUCGGGGGAAAGAUUUAUCGGGAAAGGAUUGGCCCGCGUUAGAUUAGAUAGUUGGUGGGGUAAUGGCCUACCAAGUCUACGAUCUAUAGCUGGUUUUAGAGGAUGAUCAGCAACACUGGGACUGAGACACGGCCCAGACUCCUACGGGAGGCAGCAGUGGGGAAUCUUAGACAAUGGGCGCAAGCCUGAUCUAGCCAUGCCGCGUGUGUGAUGAAGGUCUUAGGAUCGUAAAGCACUUUCGCCAGGGAUGAUAAUGACAGUACCUGGUAAAGAAACCCCGGCUAACUCCGUGCCAGCAGCCGCGGUAAUACGGAGGGGGUUAGCGUUGUUCGGAAUUACUGGGCGUAAAGCGUACGUAGGCGGAUCAGAAAGUAGGGGGUGAAAUCCCAGGGCUCAACCCUGGAACUGCCUCCUAAACUCCUGGUCUUGAGUUCGAGAGAGGUGAGUGGAAUUCCAAGUGUAGAGGUGAAAUUCGUAGAUAUUUGGAGGAACACCAGUGGCGAAGGCGGCUCACUGGCUCGAUACUGACGCUGAGGUACGAAAGUGUGGGGAGCAAACAGGAUUAGAUACCCUGGUAGUCCACACCGUAAACGAUGAAUGCCAGUCGUCGGGCAGU
rnacentral:rRNA from 1 species